rnacentral:rRNA from 1 species
GAUGAACGCUGGCGGUAUGCUUAACACAUGCAAGUCGAACGGACUCUUCAGAGUUAGUGGCGGACGGGUGAGUAACGCGUGAGAAUCUGGCUUUGGGUUCGGGACAACCACUGGAAACGGUGGCUAAUACCGGAUGUGCCGAGAGGUAAAAGAGAAAUUGCCUGAAGAUGAGCUCGCGUCUGAUUAGCUAGUUGGUGAGGUAAAGGCUCACCAAGGCAGCGAUCAGUAGCUGGUCUGAGAGGAUGACCAGCCACACUGGGACUGAGACACGGCCCAGACUCCUACGGGAGGCAGCAGUGGGGAAUUUUCCGCAAUGGGCGAAAGCCUGACGGAGCAAUACCGCGUGAGGGAAGAAGGCUCUUGGGUUGUAAACCUCUUUUCUUAGGGAAGAACAAAAUGACGGUACCUAAGGAAUCAGCAUCGGCUAACUCCGUG